rnacentral:rRNA from 1 species
AGCGAACGCUGGCGGCAGGCUUAACACAUGCAAGUCGAGCGCCGUAGCAAUACGGAGCGGCGGACGGGUGAGUAACACGUGGGAACGUGCCUUUUGGUUCGGAAUAACUCAGGGAAACUUGAGCAAUACCGAAUAAGCCCUUCGGGGGAAAGAUUUAUCGCCGAAAGAUCGGCCCGCGUAAGAUUAGCUUGUUGGUGAGGUAACGGCUCACCAAGGCUACGAUCUUUAGCUGGUCUGAGAGGAUGAUCAGCCACAUUGGGACUGAGACACGGCCCAAACUCCUACGGGAGGCAGCAGUGGGGAAUAUUGGACAAUGGGCGCAAGCCUGAUCCAGCCAUGCCGCGUGAGUGAUGAAGGCCUUAGGGUUGUAAAGCUCUUUUAGCGGAGACGAUAAUGACGGUAUCCGCAGAAAAAGCCCCGGCCAACUUCGUGCCAGCAGCCGCAGUAAUAC